rnacentral:rRNA from 1 species
CUCUUUCUUGAUUCGGUGGGUGGUGGUGCAUGGCCGUUCUUAGUUGGUGGAGCGAUUUGUCUGGUUAAUUCCGAUAACGAACGAGACUCUAGCCUGCUAAAUAGGUGGCGGGUUUAUUCUAAAAAAUUGGGUUGGGUGUUCGUCGGGAUACGAGUUCGUAUCGACGAGUGUUGGUUUGUUUGCAAUGUUUGGCAACGGGAAGAUGGGAAGGUUGCUGCGGUCGGUCGUCGUCGGGAGCUUGCUGUCGGUGGCAACACCGGUGGUUAAGUUUUUUCGGUUGCUGCUGCUCGUAGUUUCUUUCCUUUUUUCUUUUAGCUUUCGUUGUGUGCAGCCCGCGCUCUAGGUUCGGAUUCCUCGGCGGUUCGCACCCUUCUCGCGUCCGUCACAACUCUUCUUAGAGGGACAAGCGGCGUCCAGCCGCGUGACAGUGAGCAAUAACAGGUCUGUGAUGCCCUUAGAUGUCCUGGGCCGCACGCGCGCUACACUGAAGGAAUCAGCGUGUUUUUCUCCCCCUGUCCGAAAGGACCGGGUAAC